CAGGAACAGCUACUCAGGAACUUUCAAUAGUACUGUGUCUUUUAAACCCAGGCUGCAGCAUGGUCCAGUAGAUAGCACCCACUAAUGGGGCUCAGAAAUGCUGGGUUCUCCUCCUGGCUUUGUCACUUAUUUGUUAGGGUCUUGAGAAGUUUCCCAGAGUGGAAUUAUUUAUGAUGUUGAUGAUUAUGCUGUACUGGAAUGUGACGAAAAAUCAAAAAGCUUGUGCUAGUGAGUUUUUAACCUGAAAACUUCAACUGGUUGAAGGGAUCUCUCCAUCACUGUUAGAGACAGCGUGGUCUUGUACUGCAUAUAGGAACCCUCCUUUUCCAAUUCCUACCUCUGUCACUGUCUGCCCUUAAUACCACAUUGCACCUCUGUCUCUUUUUACAAAUGUUCUUCACUUGAUCCCCAGCUGCUGUAAAUUAACAUCAUUGCACUGAAGUCAACAGAACAACGCCGAUCUACACCAGGUUUGAAAGCUGGAAGUCCACCAAAGGUACAGACAAAUGUCUAAAUUCCUUUGAAAGCAAAUGAUUUGCGAAAUACUAGUAUUCAGUGGAAUUAUUUGAUAACAAAUGCUCAGAUUUGUUAGCGUUCAACAACUCCUUAUCUCUACAGUUAAUAAGAAAAGAAGAUGGAAAUACCUGGGACAUGUGUUAAGAAUGAAGCCAGAGCAUCUGCCAUUUGAUCUUUGGAGGAACACACAAAAAAAGCUGACCAAAAAAAUCCCUGUGUCAAACACAACUUUGGGAGGGAAAGGGUAUGGCACUUAAACACACAGGGGACAUGGAAAGGGAUGGCAGAGUCUUGUUGAUGGCUUAAGCAACGUUUGAUGGCUCAGGAGGGAUUCAGAGGAAAUUGCAUCACUGGGAUCUUUUGCGUUCACACAUGCACAAAGCUGGAGCAAGGAAAAUUGUGAAUUCCAAGGAAUUCUUAAUGAUGAAUUAUUAUUCGAUAUAUUAACAUAUAUAGACACAUUAUUAUAGUGUAAUAACAGCUGUCUGUGGUCAACAUGAGGGACUUGGACCUGGGAUCUCCUCUACUGAAAGCAUGAGCUGAAGGAUCAACUCCUCUAGCUGACAGCUGUAGCAGACGCAUAUUUAUGUGGACAAACCAUAUGUGGGCUGACACAAACACAACAGUGGGUACCGGAGCUCCAUAAGUGUACAUGGCACUUUAUUGUCAAGCUUGAAGGCAAAGACCCAGUCCCAAAUUGCAUACAAUAUGAAAAGAACCUACCAGCUAAACGAGUAGUUUAAUUAAGAUUUAUGGCCUUAAUCUUAUUUAGCAUUUAUGAGUUUCCCAUAGAUUUUUAUGGUCCCCAGAAUCUAAGCUUUUAUUUUUAGAAUAAUGAAGUUUCUAUCCCUUUUGAUUGCUCAAAUAGCCUUCAGAAACGAGCCGCCUGGCCUUGUAAAGAACAAAUCAGAUUAGACAAAACUUGAUUGCUUUUCUUGAUAGAAACACAAAAUUAGUAGAUGAAAGGGCUGCAGUCGAUGCGCUAUGUUUUGAUUUUAGUAAUGCAUUUGACACAGUGUCUCGUGAAAUUCUACCUGAACGAGCCAUUCAGAUUGCUUUGGAUAUGGCUCUGUCGUGUGGAUUGCAAACUGCGUCGAUGGACUGCAGUGGGGCAGAAUAACGCUGAAGUCAAUGAGAGAUGCACAUGGUCAGGAAGACAUCUCAGAAUCUGCCCUCCACAAAUGAAUGCGUACCUUUAGAUAAGCUCCAUAAAUCAGCCUGCCACUCAGAGGAGUCCAAACAAAGGUUGAACCGAAUGUGGACCUGUCAGAUCUCAACAAGGCCAAACCAGCAGCUGCCUCCCUGACUUAUCAAACUCCGCACAAUGAAGACAUGGGAAAAAAAAAAAAAGGAUGAACAAAGCACUACUCUUCCCGACAAGCAAAUACAACUUGUCACUUCUGCCAUCGCUGCUCAAUCAAAAGGAAGGGAGCCAUUAUUCCUAAUUACAGGGGAGCCAAAACACAGUUUAUCAAUUACUCCUAGCUGGAAGGCUUGCUUCCGGGUGUGCAGAGAAUUAAUUCUCUUACAGUAACUCCUGGGAGACAGAAGAUUGGUUCUGGUUGAUUUAUAGUGUCAGCAUUUAUUUUUAUUAUUAUUUCAUGAAC